AUUGAACGCUGGCGGCAGGCCUAACACAUGCAAGUCGAGCGGCAGCGGGAAGUAGCUUGCUACUUUGCCGGCGAGCGGCGGACGGGUGAGUAAUGUCUGGGAAACUGCCUGAUGGAGGGGGAUAACUACUGGAAACGGUAGCUAAUACCGCAUAACGUCGCAAGACCAAAGAGGGGGACCUUCGGGCCUCUUGCCAUCAGAUGUGCCCAGAUGGGAUUAGCUAGUAGGUGGGGUAACGGCUCACCUAGGCGACGAUCCCUAGCUGGUCUGAGAGGAGGACCAGCCAAACUGGAACUGAGACACGGUCCAGACUCCUACGGGAGGCAGCAGUGGGGAAUAUUGCACAAUGGGCGCAAGCCUGAUGCAGCCAUGCCGCGUGUAUGAAGAAGGCCUGCGGGUUGUAAAGUACUUUCAGCGGGGAGGAAGGUGUUGUGGUUAAUAACCACAGCAAUUGACGUUACCCGCAGAAGAAGCACCGGCUAACUCCGUGCCAGCAGCCGCCGUAA
rnacentral:rRNA from 1 species